rnacentral:rRNA from 1 species
UCGGGAAUAUUGCGCAAUGGAGGAAACUCUGACGCAGUGACGCCGCGUGCAGGAAGAAGGUUUCGGAUUGUAAACUGCUUUAGACAGGGAAGAAAGAAAUGACGGUACCUGUAGAAUAAGCUCCGGCUAACUACGUGCCAGCAGCCGCGGUAAUACGUAGGGAGCAAGCGUUAUCCGGAUUUAUUGGGUGUAAAGGGUGCGUAGACGGGUAUACAAGUUAGUAGUGAAAUCCCUCGGCUUAACUGAGGAACUGCUACUAAAACUAUAUAUCUUGAGUACUGGAGGGGGAAAGCGGAAUUCCUAGUGUAGCGGUGAAAUGCGUAGAUAUUAGGAAGAACACCGGUGGCGAAGGCGGCUUUCUGGACAGAAACUGACGUUGAGGCACGAAAGUGUGGGGAGCAAACAGGAUUAGAUACC